rnacentral:lncRNA from 1 species
GUGAAUAUGUCGGAUCAUAGCUCUGAGCUGCUGGUUAUGCAAGAUCAUAGAAAUCCAGUCACUGGAGAGCCUUGGUAUUCCUGAACAACGAUAAGAUAUACAGAUAUAUAUAAAUAUAUAUAGCAUAAUUUAAGCUAUGGUGUGACCUAAAAGUUUCCUGACUGAUUUCCAUCGAGUCUACCCAUGAUGAGAACUAAAAUUCAUACCAUGAUCCAUAUAGUGAAGACUCACAAUGUAUGUUUCGGGCUUGCAAAAAUAUCCCGACUGGUGCUCACAGAAUGAGAGCCAUUAUUACUUCAGACGUAGACUGCCAACUCCAGAAAUGAAGACAUUUGGAUUGGAAAAGACCAGCCCAUAUUUGCUUAUGACCUUGUAGAACUAACAGGUUGUGAGACCACAUUUCCUGACGAGCGCCAGGGAGUGGAUUCAAAUUUCAUGCGGCAGCCAUGACAGAGGAAGGACCUCCCAGAUUAAGCAGGUAUGCCCGGUGAAACAGUGCAUGACGAACCGUCUGCUCCAAGAAAUGGAAGAGUAUGAGAUCAGAACAUGUUUCUCAAUUCCAGAAGCAAUUCAAAGAAGCGGGGGUUGAUUUCUGUGAGGAUUCUUGGCCGGCAUCAGGUCCUGGGGAGUCGGGAGAGAUAUUUUGGAGGCCCCGUCAGAAACUGCGAAGAUGAAAGACUGGAGCUGGGGGAAGGAAAUCUACAGCGGGAUCUUCUCAAGAGAAGCUGGCAGAAAUGACGCAUGAUUGAAAGUCAACCCACCGAAAUCGAGAUUUUUCUUCCAGAGAGGGAAAAAAAAGUUGCUGCUGCGGUGGAAAAAAGUACGGGAUUCAUCUGCCCCGUCGGGUAUGUUGAGGCUAGAGACGGUAGAUAAGUUGCUAGCUUCUCCUGUGAGGAACCAGCUGGAGCCUGGAUGAUCGCCGAAAUUCAAUGCAAACUGGCGGAGCCCAGCUCGCGUCGAAGAAGAGACGAAUGUAUGGCUCGUUGUUCUCCCUGAAAUCAUCUCGGAGGUGCAGCGGGAGCGGAAUCACAGGAGAUUCAGAGAGGAAUUCAGACGAGGAUGGGGUCGAUUCAACACUGGGAAUACAUAAAUGAAGCCGUAUUUUUCGAAUGGGAUUUCAUAUAUUUCACUGUAUGCCGGAGGCUGUACAGAGAAAGAACAGAAAGAGGACAGCGCUGGCCCUGUAAUCGAAUCAAGAGAAACGAUGAAUAGCCGAAAUGGUUCGCACUCCGCCCUUUCGAUCCUCGCAGAAAGGGGAGACUUCAAACUCUGAGGAUGAACCAAGAGAUCGCGAUCGAUGUGAUCGGCUCGAAUGCGAAUUCCGACAAAGGCGAUGCAUUCUAAAGGGAAAAUCAGGGCGAGAAGAGAAG